rnacentral:rRNA from 1 species
AGAUGGGAUUAGCUAGUAGGUGAGGUAAUGGCUCACCUAGGCGACGAUCCCUAGCUGGUCUGAGAGGAUGACCAGCCACACUGGAACUGAGACACGGUCCAGACUCCUACGGGAGGCAGCAGUGGGGAAUAUUGCACAAUGGGCGCAAGCCUGAUGCAGCCAUGCCGCGUGUGUGAAGAAGGCCUUAGGGUUGUAAAGCACUUUCAGCGAGGAGGAAGGCAUCAUACUUAAUACGUGUGGUGAUUGACGUUACUCGCAGAAGAAGCACCGGCUAACUCCGUGCCAGCAGCCGCGGUAAUACGGAGGGUGCAAGCGUUAAUCGGAAUUACUGGGCGUAAAGCGCACGCAGGCGGUUUGUUAAGUCAGAUGUGAAAUCCCCGCGCUUAACGUGGGAACUGCAUUUGAAACUGGCAAGCUAGAGUCUUGUAGAGGGGGGUAGAAUUCCAGGUGUAGCGGUGAAAUGCGUAGAGAUCUGGAGGAAUACCGGUGGCGAAGGCGGCCCCCUGGACAAAGACUGACGCUCAGGUGCGAAAGCGUGGGGAGCAAACAGGAUUAGAUANCCCUGGUAGUCCACGCUGUAAACGAUGUCGACUUGGAGGUUGUG